GCUUCAGAGUCUCGGUCUGUAGAGCAUUAGACUCUCAAUCUCUGGGUCGUGGGUUCGAGCCCCACGCUGGGCA